AAGUUGUCCACGUGUACAACUAUGUCAACUGUACAUCAUGGAGCUACGAGCUGUCCACGUGUACAACUAUGCUAAGCUACAAGCUACAAUUCGUAUACACAAAAAAAAUAAUACACAUAUGUUCUAGCCAAAUCAAAACAUCAUCCUCGAACAAUCUGACCGUAGUGAAUCAUAUAUACACCAGACCUUCUUCUACGAUAGCGCAUUCACUCACCUCCAUCCUUCUUCUUUUUGGACAUACCUAUACACCCCGGUACACAACCAC
rnacentral:lncRNA from 1 species